CAACAGAAACAGUUUUAAAAACAGAAAAUAUAUUAACAAAAAAAUUAUCUCUAAAUAUACAUUUUAAAUAGAAAUCGUCAGUAAAAGAAUUAUUAUUCUGUGAUGAGUGUGAGUCAGGAAGUAAAAGUAGUUUUGCAGAGUUUGUUUGUUUCACAGUCAGAGAGUGGUGUCUCUCUACAGUCAGAGGUUUUUGUACAGCGGCUCAAUGAGUUUGUAUCACUGUGGUACACGUUCGGUGGAGGAACCAGACUGGAUGUUGGAAGUGACAGGCGCCCCACCCUGACGGUGCUGCCCCCCUCCAGAGAGGAGCUGCAGCAGGGGAAGGCCACGCUCAUGUGCCUGGCCAACAAGGGCUUCCCCUCAGGCUGGAGUCUGAGCUGGAAGGUGGAGGACAGCAGCAGCAGCAGCAGCUGGGAGGAGAGCAGGAGCCCCGGGGUGCUGCAGAAGGACGGCCUCUACAGCUGGAGCAGCACCCUGAGGCUCCCUGCAGACCAGUGGAGGAAGGUGGGCUCUGUGACCUGUGAGGCCACCCAGGGCUCCCAGACUCCCCUCAGAGAGACACUGAGGAGAGACCAGUGUUCCCAGUCCUGACCGGACUCACUGGGACUCUCACACUGCUUUGACUCUCACACUCAUCUCACCUCUGUCAUUCACUCUCUUUCACUUUCUUCUAUCAUCAAACCAAACUCUCUUCAUCAAUAUUCAUCUUCUUCCAUCAUGACUUUCUUCCAGCUUUGACA